AAUCUGGGGUCCACGACCUCCGAGUUGUAAUUUGGAGAGGCAUCUUCGGGGGGGAGCGCCGGCCCAUGUUCCUUGGAACAGGACGUCGCAGAGGGUGAGAAUCCCGUGCCAGGCCGGCUGCCUCCUCCCGGGUGAAGGGCCUUCGACGAGUCGAGUUGUUUGGGAAUGCAGCUCCAAGUGGGUGGUAAAUUUCAUCUAAAGCUAAAUACCGGCGGGAGACCGAUAGCGCACAAGUAGAGUGAUCGAAAGAUGAAAAGCACUUUGAAAAUAGAGUCAAAAAGUACGUGAAAUUGUUGAAAGGGAAGCGCUUGAGACCAGACUCAGGCCCGGGCAAACAUCGCGCCCCCCGGGGCCGUGCAAUUGCCUGGGGCUGGGCCAGCAUCAGUUGGCGUGGCGGGACAAAGGCGCGGGCAAUGUGGCUCCCCUCGGGGAGUGUUAUUAGGCCCGUGCUCAAUGCCGCCGACGCCGACUGAGGACCGCGCCUCGGCUAGGAUGCUGGCUUAAUGGCCUUCAGCGACCCGUCUUGAAACACGGACCAAGGAGUCUAACAUCUAUGCGAGUGUUUGGGCGCCAAACCCUUGCGCGGAAUGAAAGUGAGCGGAGGUGGGAACCCCCCAGCGGGGCGCACCAUCGACCGAUCCUGAUGUCUUCGGAUGGAUUUGAGUA
rnacentral:rRNA from 1 species